UGGGGAAUUUUGGACAAUGGGCGAAAGCCUGAUCCAGCAAUGCCGCGUGCAGGAUGAAGGCCUUCGGGUUGUAAACUGCUUUUGUACGGAACGAAAAAGCUCCUUCUAAUACAGGGGGCCCAUGACGGUACCGUAAGAAUAAGCACCGGCUAACUACGUGCCAGCAGCCGCGGUAAUACGUAGGGUGCGAGCGUUAAUCGGAAUUACUGGGCGUAAAGCGUGCGCAGGCGGUUAUGUAAGACAGAUGUGAAGUCCCCGGGCUCAACCUGGGAACUGCAUUUGUGACUGCAUGGCUAGAGUACGGUAGAGGGGGAUGGAAUUCCGCGUGUAGCAGUGAAAUGCGUAGAUAUGCGGAGGAACACCGAUGGCGAAGGCAAUCCCCUGGACCUGUACUGACGCUCAUGCACGAAAGCGUGGGGAGCAAACAGGAUUAGAUACCCUGGUAGUCCACGCCCUAAACGAUGUCAACUGGUUGUUGGGAAUUAGUUUUCUCAGUAACGAAGCUAACGCGUGAAGUUGACCGCCUGGGGAGUACGGCCGCAAGGUUG
rnacentral:rRNA from 1 species